UUUUAGGCCAACUUGUUUCCUGCAGCCCUGGUGUAUUUUGGAUCCUCUGACAAACCUGAUUGCUAUUUGAAGACGGAACUAUUGGACAGUGCUGUUACACCUUUUGAAGCAGAUGAUCUUAUUGCAAGUUGUAUUCCAAGGUCACCAACCCAAUCAUCUAGUUCAUUAGCUUCGGAAGCAACAAUUUUCCCUGUUUUGGAGACUGACUUGGAAGCCAGUGCACAAAACUCCGCUCCUGAUAAUUCUCACCCAAAUGGACUAGCUUCAAAACCUAAUGCUACCGAUUCCAACAAGGUGCCCAAGUGGCUAAAACUGCCAGGGAAAUGAUGAACCACAUGGAAGAAGGACCCACGGGGGAAAUGUUCCACAAAAUAAAAUAAUGUGCUGAAUUGAGUUAAUGGCUUUUCAAUAGAUACAUAAUGGCAUAAUAUUGGUAAAAAAUAGUAUAUUAGUUAUAAACAGGUGUGAUUUCUUCUACAGAAUUGAUAUGAAAUGUUGAAUAGAGACAGAUGUAUUAAUGAAAUGUAACUUUGAUUUUGCAUUUAUCAUUUUGCCAAGUUAUUGUCUGUAAAAUUAGUUUUUUUUUGUAAAAUACAAAAUCACUGACCAGGCAGCGAUCAGUGAAAAUCUCUGGAUCAGCAGCAUGGUAUUAGAAAUGUGCACUGCAGAUUCAAACAACCAAAGAAGUCUUGAAGGGUGAAUCUGCAGUGCACAGCCAAAAAAAUAACCACUGGGACAAAAUGCCGAAAGUAUUUUUCACACAAAGUAGUACCAGCUAAAGUUGUGCAGCCCAGGAAAGCAUGGCCAACACAUUUUAAGAGGUUUCUCGUCUUUUUUUUUUCUUCCUUUAGCACUUACCUUUUACUUAUAGUAUAAGAAAUUAAUAAAAUAUGAGGUUUUCCUAGUGGCAAUAUUUGGAUAAAAAAUUAAUUAAAAACACAUUUCAGUUUGUGAAUGUGCUUCCAUCUUGUUGCAUUCUAUUUAGGAGCAAAAAGUUAAUUAAAUCAAAGAUGCUUAA